GAUGAACGCUGGCGGCGUGCCUAAUACAUGCAAGUCGAGCGAACAGACGAGGAGCUUGCUCCUCUGACGUUAGCGGCGGACGGGUGAGUAACACGUGGAUAACCUACCUAUAAGACUGGGAUAACUUCGGGAAACCGGAGCUAAUACCGGAUAACAUGUUGAACCGCAUGGUUCAACAGUGAAAGACGGUUUUGCUGUCACUUAUAGAUGGAUCCGCGUCGCAUUAGCUAGUUGGUAAGGUAACGGCUUACCAAGGCAACGAUGCGUAGCCGACCUGAGAGGGUGAUCGGCCACACUGGAACUGAGACACGGUCCAGACUCCUACGGGAGGCAGCAGUAGGGAAUCUUCCGCAAUGGGCGAAAGCCUGACGGAGCAACGCCGCGUGAGUGAAGAAGGUCUUCGGAUCGUAAAACUCUGUUACUAGGGAAGAACAAAUGUGUAAGUAACUAUGCACGUCUUGACGGUACCUAAUCAGAAAGCCACGGCUAACUACGUG
rnacentral:rRNA from 1 species